ensembl:snRNA U6 U6 spliceosomal RNA
GUGCUCACUUCAGUAGCACCUCUAUUACAAGUGGAACAAUACAGAGAAGAUUAGUGUGGCCCCUGAGCAGAGAUAACACACAAACUCAUGAAGCAUUCCAAAUUUUU